CUGCCCAGGGUAAGUCGGGACCUAAGGCGAGGCCGACAGGCGUAGUCGAUGGAUAACCGGUUGAUAUUCCGGUACCCGCUGUGAAGCGUCAAACAUCGAAUCCAGUGAUGCUAAGCCCGUGAAGCCGCCGGCUGAGUCUUCGGACGAGGUCGGAGUGGUGGAGCCGGUGACCCGAGCUGGUAGUAGGUGAGUGAUGGGGUGACGCAGGAAGGUAGUCCAUCCCGGGCGGUGGUUGUCCCGGGGUAAGGGUGUAGGACGUCAGGUAGGCAAAUCCGCCUGACACAUAGUCUGAGACCUGAUGCCGAGCCGAUUGUGGUGAAGUGGAUGAUCCUAUGCUGUCGAGAAAAGCCUCUAGCGAGUUUCAUGGCGGCCCGUACCCUAAACCGA
rnacentral:ncRNA from 1 species